rnacentral:rRNA from 1 species
GACGGAAGGUGCAAGCGUUGCUCGGAAUCACUGGGCGUAAAGGGUGCGUAGGCGGCUUGGUAAGUUGGGUGUGAAAGCCCCGGGCUCAGCCCGGGAAGGGCACUCGAAACUGCCGAGCUGGGGUGCCGGAGGGGAGAGUGGAAUUCCUGGUGUAGCGGUGAAAUGCGUAGAUAUCUGGAGGAACACCGGUGGCGAAGGCGGCAUCCUGGACCGACACUGACACUGAGGAGCGAAAGCCAGGGGAGCAAACGGG